rnacentral:rRNA from 1 species
AGAGUCCCGCCUGCCCAGUGACUUAGUGUUCAACGGCCGCGGUAUUUUAACCGUGCAAAGGUAGCGUAAUCACUUGUCUUUUAAAUGAAGACCUGUAUGAAUGGCAUCACGAGGGCUUAACUGUCUCCUUUCCCCCAUCAAUUAAAUUGAUCUCCCCGUGCAGAAGCUGGGAUUUUUACAUAAGACGAGAAGACCCUAUGGAGCUUUAAACAUAUCAGGAAUACGUCAAAUAACCUUACUUAAAAGAGCGAACUAAAUAUUCACCUCGAACUGUUUUUGGUUGGGGCGACCGCGGGAGAAUAAGUAUCUCCCAUGAUAAAAGCACCAUGCUUUAAAACCUAGACUAGCAAGUCAAAGUUGUAGAAGCUCUAAUUAUGAUCCGGCCCGCCGAUCAACGAAAUGAGUUACCCUAGGGAUAACAGCGCAAUCCCCUUUAAGAGCCCUUAUCAACAAGGGGGUUUACGACCUCGAUGUUGGAUCAGGACAUCCUAAUGG